UUGCGGUUAAAAAGCUCGUAGUUGGAUCUUAGAGUGUGAGUGAAUGGUCGAUCGAAAGAUUGUACUGUUCGGCACACUCUUCUCUUCGGUUGCGUGUGUAGUGCCCUUAACUGAGUGCUGCACUCGACCGGAAUUUUUACCUUGAAAAAAUUAGAGUGUUCAAAGCAGACCUGAUUAUGUCUGAAUAUUCGUGCAUGGAAUAAUAAAAUAAGAACUUGGUUCUAUUUUAUUGGUUUUCGGAACUCGAGUUAAUGAUUAAGAGGGACAGACGGGGGCAUCCGUACUCUGCCGUUAGAGGUGAAAUUCUUGGAUCGGCGGAAGACGCGCAACUGCGAAAGCAUUUGCCAAGAAUGUUUUCUUUAAUCAAGAACGAAAGUCGGAGGUUCGAAGACGAUCAGAUACCGUCCUAGUUUCGACUGUAAACUAUGCCAGCUAACGAUCAGACAGCGUUCUCUACGACUUGUCUGGCGGUUUCCGGGAAACCAAAGCUUUUGGGUUCCGGGGGAAGUAUGGUUGCAAAGCUGAAACUUAAUGGAAUUGACGGAAGGGCACCACCAGGAGUGGAGCCUGCGGCUUAAUUUGACUCAACACGGGGAAACUCACCCGGCCCGGACACAGUGAGGAUUGACAGAUUGAGAGUUCUUUCUUGAUUCUGUG
rnacentral:rRNA from 1 species